GUUCUAUAGAGGCAACCGAAACGUUUGUAACACGUUGUUUUUUUCCUUUCAUAUUUCACAGUAAUACAAUGUAAAUUUAAACAGUAGCUAUAUAAUAUUACGUUAAAUUCUCGUUUUCGAUUUUUAUAUUUCGAUUGUUCACGAAUAUACCGGCUACACCUCUUAAAGGUUCGAAUCCGAAUAUUUUCAAAUGCCAAACAUAAUGAGUAUCAGAUCGCCGGUGCACGUGAGAUUUCAUAUACCUACCCGCACAUACUUUCAUCAAGAAAUAUCAAUACGGUUUUGUUGUUAUAAGAACGUAACUAUAACCGGCGAUUUGCGUUGGCGAUAUACCGUCAGUUAUAGACCGAUUAACUGUUUGCCCGACAGACAUUCCGUAUUAACACUUAAACACGAUCGUUUAGGCUAAUGUUUAUUGGUAUACAGUCUUGCCUAUACUUUUACGGCGCGAUUAACAAACUGCGAUCAGGUUGUCGACGUGUUGCCGCGGAAAAUAGAAUAUGGUAUCGACAGAGUGAACAGCAAACAAUAUUUAUAUAAUACCGCGUUACAAUAUUUCUGAAAAAAAAAAAGAAAAAUGUGUUAACCGACGAUAACGUACGUAUAAAUGUUUCAACUCGAGUAAUCUUAAGCCGACAGAUAUUGAACGGUUUGUUAAUUUAUAUUUAAUUCGAUUGUAUACUUUCUAUUUGUAAUAGAAAUUUUAUCUCCUACCACGGAUACCUAUUAUAAUAGAGUAGGUAUGGCCGUAUAGAUUGUAUGGUAUUAUCUUUGAAAAGUUGUCGCGUCCGGAAAAUAGCGGUUGAAAAUCAGCCAGCCGGCCGAACAGGAAAUCGAACCCGAGUCUCCCGGUCGCCGCGCGAUCGUUCCGUCAACUAAACUACCCGGGGUUUGAUAAGAAAUCGAUAAAUACACUGGACUUUCUUUACUAAACAUACGUCGUGCUGUACGGUUGAGAGAACAAAGCGGCGCUUGAUGCGGGACCGUGUUAAAGUCUAAAUCAAUGUUAUGUAUUUUAGAAACGACCAAUACCAUAUAGGGACUGUCCAGUCGAACAAAUCGCAAUUAAUAACAAUGACAAAUAUGCAUACUUAUUGAAAUAUUUGAAUGUGUGAGUGUAUUUUUUCUAAACUAAUGUCUAAUAUUAUAUAUUUGUUAUUUUGGUACCUCUCGUAAUAUUUAUACGAACAGAAUUAUUCAUCAAAUUUCAUUAAACUUAGAAAUGCAUACAAAUGUAUAGAUAAAAUUUAAAUUAUCCAAAUUUGGUGUCUCUAGGCCAUCUUAAAUCUCCACUCACGUGAUAAAUGUCAAUAACCUAUACAGUGUAACCAAUAUUCGAAACUCAUAACCUUGACAUUUUUUUGUUUUUUUAAACAGAACAUAGCUUUAAAAUGUAACAUUACCGUUACUUUUGUCACUUUUAUUUUAGAGGGGGGGAAUUCAUUAUCAACAAUUAAUUUUUAAAUUUAACUUGUAUUAAAAUGGAUGGAAUUUCAGUAAAAAUAAAUUUUGGUUUUUUUUUUUUACAUUUUUAAUUUCCGUUAAACUUGGUGAUGAGAUAUUUCACUUUUUUAGAUUUGAGUUGGUAAUUUUGAGUUGAGAAAGUAGUGGAACAUCAUUUAAAUGCAGGACGACGUAUAGAAUUUGAAUAAUACAAAAAAGAGGUAAUAUAAUAUUUUAGAACUGUGGCGUUUAUGAAAAUAAAUGUCUAAAAAACCCCCGGUAAAAACAACUGGACGCGCAAAUCUGGUAUAGGACACCAAAUUUGUAAAUACAAAGAAAAGUUUUAUGGCGUGAACUGUGAAAUUUCUAUUAAAAAAGUAUGUUCACUAAUUAUAAAUUAAAUGGGCUAUUUCUGUUGCAUUUUCUUUUUACCGUCUAUUGAUGUUUAUUAACCGUGAAAUCCCCUUCCUUCCAAUGGUGAUUCCUUAUUAAGUUAUACGUACUAUUUCAAAUACGUAAUUUAUAUGGGUAUUUUAGAUAGGUACCUAGUGCCUACCUACAGUAUAAUAAUAUUAUGUUAUCUUUUUAAACCUUGAGUCAUUUAUCCAAUGAUAGAUUACAAAUGGCAUAAAACAUCUGUAAUAUAUUAUGUUCGAUUUAAUUCGCUGAAAAAUUAAGACACAAUUUUGCGAUAAUAAAGUCCAAAGAUAAUAAUUCUAUUAAGGUAUAAUAUUUAUACGCUAAAAGUGUUUAUUCUUUCAAGAUGUCAAAUUUAAACACUUACGAAAACCUUUAAUAUAUUAUCGAAUAAAACCAAAAAAUGGAGAGGAGUUGUAUUUAUUGCUCGUUUCGGAAUCAAUUGGAGAAAAAAAAUAUAAUGUUAUUAUUGAGGGUGCGGUUCAAAAUUGUCGCUAUCAAUUAGACGAACUAAAGGAAAAACUCAAAAUACCGGGUCUUAUUAAAUCGUGUACGGAAAAGUUGAGCUCAAAAAAAUUCAUUGUAAACAAGUGUAACGGUCAUGAUAACGACGACUGUCAAGAUAUGUGCAAUUUUAUUCGAAAUAUUUACGGUAACACAAAUGUUACAAUAUUCUAGUUUCAUACAGAUUGCGAUAAAUUAUAUUAUGUACCUGUUUACUAAUUUAAUAUUUACCUAUAUAAAGUAUUUUUACUUUUUAACUAUGACAUUUACAGAACACGAUAAGGUAGUCGAAUUUGCAAUAAUCGGUCCUUAUUUCAAUACAAAAACAUUACGUAACAAGAUAAACAGAUUCUUUGACUUGUACAAUACGAAAAAAAAAAAAUGGCCGUAUAGCCGUUUACGUACCGGAAUAUUAUGUAUAUUUUUUCAAAGAAAUAAACACAAUCUAUGGCAAGAUAAUAGUGACGAGCACAAUUACCAGGUAUAUAGGUUGGGGACAACCAAAUACAGCAGCCCGCCCUCGGUAUCUGCAACCGCUGCGUAGUUUUGGGAAAAAAAGUAUGGUCGGAGUGAGUGAGCAAAAAUAGUCUGCUUCUGCUGGGCGAACCCGGAGAAGUAACAACCGACUCGGACACGAUCAAAAAGGCCUUUUGGGUGACGCUUAUGGCGUGUUUAUGCCCUCUGCAGUCUCCCACAGCGACGACUCCCACUCCGCCACGGUAACUACGUGGGCGGCUCUAUGCGAGCGACGCGCGUAAUUAAUAUUUUGAAUUCAUAUGUGUCCUAUUAAGGUGGCAAAACUAUUUAACAGAUGUUUGUAACGGAAUCGGUAAUCGUACUGUAAAACCUUGAUCGUUAUUUUGCAAGUAUUAAAUAUUCAAUGUAUUACAAAAUUGAUAACAAAAUUUAAGUAAAACUACAUCAUAUUUAAAUAACAGCAUAUUUUUUUUUUUAUAAAAUUAGUUUCAACUAUACUAUGAAAAUAGUAACGGUUCAUUUUUCUUAAUAGGAAGAAAAGCAACAAUCAACAACCUGAAAUUUUACUUAGAUCUAAAUAACUAUAUCGCUAUUAUUUUUGAAUCUAAGCAAAGAUAUGUGCAUUUAUAUUCAAUGCUUACUGUUACAGUAUUGUAAAGAACACAUUUAUUUUGUGUUUAGAA